AUUGAACGCUGGCGGCGUGCUUAACACAUGCAAGUCGAACGGAAAGGCCUCAGCUUGCUGGGGUACUCGAGUGGCGAACGGGUGAGUAACACGUGGGUGAUCUGCCCUGCACUUUGGGAUAAGCUUGGGAAACUGGGUCUAAUACCGAAUAUGACCACUUCUUGGAUGUUGUGGUGGAAAGCUUUUGCGGUGUGGGAUGAGCCUGCGGCCUAUCAGCUUGUUGGUGGGGUAAUGGCCUACCAAGGCGGCGACGGGUAUCCGGCCUGAGAGGGUGUACGGAAACAUUGGGACUGAGAUACGGCCCAGACUCCUACGGGAGGCAGCAGUGGGGAAUAUUGCACAAUGGGCGCAAGCCUGAUGCAGCGACGCCGCGUGGGGGAUGAAGGCCUUCGGGUUGUAAACUCCUUUCGCUAUCGACGAAGCCACUUGUGGUGACGGUAGGUAGAUAAGAAGCACCGGCUAACUACGUGCCAGCCGCCGCUGUAA
rnacentral:rRNA from 1 species